CAUUAAAUCCGUCAUGUGUUUGUUUCAGAUGAAUGAAUACCUGCACCAUGGAAACAAUGUCAUUUGCAAAUUUUUUGAACCUGUGCUGGGCGUUCACAUUGACAUUUCUUGUUCAGCAGGAAUACAUGAUGUCGACCAACAGUACAGCUAGAUGAAGAUAUAAAUUUAUUCAAAGAAAUAAUGGGACAAUGAAUGCUAAAAUUGCCAAGAAGCAAGAAGACUGCCAAUUUACACACCAUUUUAUACAGUUACAGUAUGAUAUGGUGAACAAAAUGCCUCAAUGCAGCCAGUUCUGGAGCUUUGGCUAGACUAUGAACAGUAGACAUCAAAAGAUGAUCAUCUGAAGGGCCACAAUUGUUUAAAGCACUGGUCAACAAAAACUGAACUAUUUGAUGAAUCAUACAUCUGCAGAAUGUACUACCAUAUUUCCAGAAUCAGAGAAAUAGAAAUAUCAAGUAUUAGAGAGAAAGAAAAGUAUGCAUCAUGUAUGAAGAACUGCCUAAGAAUAAUUUGCAAAAUACAUUGAAAUGUAACAACUGCUAAUUGCAUAAGGAAGUUAAGGAAGGUGUACUCUUUGGAAAAUAUGUGUCCAGUGCAACAUUUCUUUUCCAAUUUUGUGAGCAUAAUUCUGAAUAAAAAUUGCAACAUGGGUACAGGGAUAAUACAAAAGGUUUAAUCUUAUUUCCAAACGCAUUGGGGGAAUCAGAGAAGAAAUAUCAAGAACUAGGGAAAAAGAAAUAAUUGUCAUGAAUGAAGAACUUACUUUUUAUUAAUUUACAAAAUACCUUUUAUUCUCACAACUGUUAAUAAUAUUAUGAAUAUGGAAGUUAAAAGUGUGGACUUUGAUUAAUCUUCAACUUCUCUGAGCAUAGUUCUACAUAAAAAUUGUAACUUUAUAAAAUAGUCUUGUAGAAAAAGUGUAAGACUUUCAUACUUGUUUUAUAGAAAAUGUUUCUGGAUGUUUCAAUGUAAGUUUGCUAGACCCAGACCACUAGCUCCUAAGUAGUCAAGGUUACACUUAGAUGUCAAAGGUUAAAAGGGUCUGUUUCUGUCUGGUCAAUAACUGCAAUACAUAAAGGGAUUUUGGAAUUACUGGGCAUAAAUGUUCACCAUAAAGAGACAACGUGUUAUGCGCAAGACCCAAACCCUUGCUCCAAGGUCAAGGUCACACUUAGAGGUCAAAGGUUAAUAGAGUCUUUUGGUGUCUGGUCAAUAACUCUGCGAUCCAUGAAGCGACUUUUAGAUAACUUGGCAUAAA